rnacentral:rRNA from 1 species
CCUACGGGAGGCAGCAGUGAGGAAUAUUGGUCAAUGGGCGCGAGCCUGAACCAGCCAAGUAGCGUGAAGGAUGACUGCCCUACGGGUUGUAAACUUCUUUUAUAAAGGAAUAAAGUGCGGCACGUGUGCCUUUUUGUAUGUACUUUAUGAAUAAGGAUCGGCUAACUCCGUUCCAGCAGACGCGGUAAUACGGUGUGUCCGAGCGUUACCCGGAUUUAUUGGGUUGAAAGGGAGCGUAGAUGGGUUGUUAAGUCAGUUGUGAAAGUUUGCGGCUCAACCGUAAAAUUGCAAUUGAUACUGGCAGGCUUGAGUACAGUUGAGGUAGGCGGAAUUCGUGGUGUAGCGGUGAAAUGCUUAGAUAUCACGAAGAACUCCGAUUGCGAAGGCAGCUUACUAAACUGCAACUGACAUUGAUGCUCGAAAGUGUGGGUAUCAAACAGGAUUAGAUACCCCUGUAGUC